UGUGGCAUACGGCUCAGUAACACGUAGUCAACAUGCCCAGGGGACGUGGAUAACCUCGGGAAACUGAGGAUAAACCGCGAUAGGUCAUUACUUCUGGAAUGGGUAAUGACUUAAAUCUAUAUGGCCCCUGGAUUGGACUGCGGCCGAUCAGGCUGUUGGUGAGGUAAUGGCCCACCAAACCUGUAACCGGUACGGGCUCUGAGAGGAGGAGCCCGGAGAUGGGCACUGAGACAAGGGCCCAGGCCCUAUGGGGCGCAGCAGGCGCGAAACCUCUGCAAUAGGCGAAAGCUUGACAGGGUUACUCUGAGUGAUUUCCGUUAAGGAGAUCUUUUGGCACCUCUAAAAAUGGUGCAGAAUAAGGGGUGGGCAAGUCUGGUGUCAGCCGCCGCGGUAAUACCAGCACCCCGAGUGGUCGGGACGUUUAUUGGGCCUAAAGCAUCCGUAGCCGGUUCUACAAGUCUUCCGUUAAAUCCACCUGCUUAACAGAUGGGCUGCGGAAGAUACUAUAGAGCUAGGAGGCGGGAGAGGCAAGCGGUACUCGAUGGGUAGGGGUAAAAUCCGUUGAUCCAUUGAAGACCACCAGUGGCGAAGGCGGCUUGCCAGAACGCGCUCGACGGUGAGGGAUGAAAGCUGGGGGAGCAAACCGGAUUAGAUACCCGGGUAGUCCCAGCUGUAAACGAUGCAGACUCGGUGAUGAGUUGGCUUAUUGCUAACUCAGUGCCGCAGGGAAGCCGUUAAGUUUGCCGCCUGGGGAGUACGGUCGCAAGACUGAAACUUAAAGGAAUUGGCGGGGGAGCACCACAAGGGGUGAAGCCUGCGGUUCAAUUGGAUUCAACGCCGGG
rnacentral:rRNA from 1 species